rnacentral:rRNA from 1 species
UAAUGCCGGAUGCUCCAUCACACCGCAUGGUGUGUUGGGAAAGCCUUUGCGGCAUGGGAUGGGGUCGCGUCCUAUCAGCUUGAUGGCGGGGUAACGGCCCACCAUGGCUUCGACGGGUAGCCGGCCUGAGAGGGCGACCGGCCACAUUGGGACUGAGAUACGGCCCAGACUCCUACGGGAGGCAGCAGUGGGGAAUAUUGCACAAUGGGCGCAAGCCUGAUGCAGCGACGCCGCGUGAGGGAUGGAGGCCUUCGGGUUGUAAACCUCUUUUGUUAGGGAGCAAGGCAUUUUGUGUUGAGUGUACCUUUCGAAUAAGCACCGGCUAACUACGUGCCAGCAGCCGCGGUAAUACGUAGGGUGCAAGCGUUAUCCGGAAUUAUUGGGCGUAAAGGGCUCGUAGGCGGUUCGUCGCGUCCGGUGUGAAAGUCCAUCGCUUAACGGUGGAUCCGCGCCGGGUACGGGCGGGCUUGAGUGCGGUAGGGGAGACUGGAAUUCCCGGUGUAACGGUGGAAUGUGUAGAUAUCGGAAAAGAAC